ACUCAAAGGAAUUGACGGGGACCCGCACAAGCAGUGGAGCAUGUGGUUUAAUUCGACGCUACGCGAAGAACCUUACCAAGGUUUGACAUCCUAGGAAUCCGCUAGAAAUAGUGGAGUGCCUUCGGGAACCUAGUGACAGGUGUUGCAUGGCCGUCGUCAGCUCGUGUCGUGAGAUGUUGGGUUAAGUCCCGCAACGAGCGCAACCCUUAUCGUUUGUUGUAUUUUUCAAACGAGACUGCCCGGGCCAACCGGGAGGAAGGUGGGGAUGACGUCAGGUCAGCAUGACCCUUACACCUUGGGCUACACACGUGCUACAAUGGCCGGUACAACGCGUUUGCCAACCCGCGAGGGGGAGCUAAUCGCAUCAAAACCGGUCCCAGUUCGGAUAGGAGGCUGCAACUCGCCUCCUUGAAGUUGGAAUUGCUAGUAAACGUGGGUCAGCAUACCACGUUGAAUACGUUCUCGGGUCUUGUACACACCGCCCGU
rnacentral:rRNA from 1 species